rnacentral:tRNA from 1 species
GCAUUGGUGGUUCAGUGGUAGAAUUCUUGCCUUCCAUGUGGAAGACAUGAGUUCGAUUCCCAACCAAUGCA